AGAUGCCAAAGUUUCCAUUGGAAAACCUGCACGUGUCAGGGACCACCAAACAAUUCUUGCAAACCCAGACCCUCUGCGGCCAGGGUCGGGUGAUGGGGAGGAGCUGCGAGGAUUAGUUGCCGUUGAAGGGGGCUCCGCCAAUGAAAUCUUCUCUGCGCUCUGAUUUGGCGGUUCUUCGGUGCAAAUAUGACAGCUUUCUCUCUCAGCUCUUUUCUGCAUCUCUCCAUGUCCGACCCCGGAGCCCAGUUCUCGGUCUGCAAUUUCUACACCACAACCUUUGCAAUCACCACCACCACCACCCCUAGGUCCCAUGUCAGCAGGUGCCAGGUUGCUACAAAGGUGACAGGGCACAUUGGGAAGAAGGCUUGUUGAUUGCAGAAGAUACUUAUGCCCCGUGUUUCCAGGUGGGGAAAUGUUAGAAUAAAUGUACUUUGUACUAAAUAUAUAGUCAUGGAGAAUUGUUCAGAUUGUUUAUUUCUUUCUUUGAUGCUAACUAAUGUAUUAGAAAGAAACAGAUAUUUAUCUGUCUUUGCUGUUUUUUUUUCUUUCUUCCCAAACAGGUCGAUGCCUGUGUGUUCCAUCAGUUAAUGGGGAGUAGUAGUUAAGAGAGUGUACUAGUGAGGUGUUGGUGAGGUGGGAUUUUGCUGUCUAUCGAGGAAAAUAAAAGAUGUGAACUUCC
ensembl:lincRNA